GACGAACGCUGGCGGCGUGCUUAACACAUGCAAGUCGAGCGGUAAGGCCCUUUCGGGGGUACGACGAGCGGCGAACGGGUGAGUAACACGUGGGUGACCUGCCCUUACGCUCUGGGAUAAGCCUGGGAAACUGGGUCUAAUACCGGAUAUGACUCCAUGACGCAUGUUGUGGGGUGGAAAGCCUUGUGCGGCUAGGGAUGGGCCUGCGGCCUAUCAGCUUGUUGGUGGGGUGAUGGCCUACCAAGGCGACGACGGGUAGCCGGCCUGAGAGGGCGACCGGCCACACUGGGACUGAGACACGGCCCAGACUCCUACGGGAGGCAGCAGUGGGGAAUCUUGCGCAAUGGGCGAAAGCCUGACGCAGCGACGCCGCGUGGGGAUGACGGCCUCGG
rnacentral:rRNA from 1 species